ACGCUGGCGGCGUGCCUAACACAUGCAAGUCGAACGAAUGUAGCAAUACAUUAGUGGCGCACGGGUGAGUAACACGUGGGAAUCUGCCUCAUAGUUCGGAAUAACACCGGGAAACUGGUGCUAAUACCGGAUACGCCCUUCGGGGGAAAGUUUUUCGCUAUGAGAUGAGCCCGCGUUGGAUUAGCUAGUUGGUGGGGUAAUGGCCUACCAAGGCGACGAUCCAUAGCUGAUUUGAGAGGAUGAUCAGCCACACUGGGACUGAGACACGGCCCAGACUCCUACGGGAGGCAGCAGUGGGGAAUAUUGGACAAUGGGGGCAACCCUGAUCCAGCCAUGCCGCGUGUGUGAAGAAGGCCUUCGGGUUGUAAAGCACUUUAAGCGGGGAGGAAGGCCUGAUGGAUAAUACCCAUUGGGAUUGACGUUACCCGCAGAAUAAGCACCGGCAAACUUCGUG
rnacentral:rRNA from 1 species